rnacentral:rRNA from 1 species
UACAGGGGGGGCAAGCGUUGUUCGGAAUUACUGGGCGUAAAGGGUUCGUAGGUGGCCAACUAAGUCAGACGUGAAAUCCCUCAGCUUAACUGGGGAACUGCGUCUGAUACUGGAUGGCUUGAGUGCAGGAGAGGAAUGCGGAAUUCCAGGUGUAGCGGUGAAAUGCGUAGAUAUCUGGAAGAACACCAAUGGCGAAGGCAAUGUUCUGGCUCGUUUCUGACGCUCAGGUGCGAAAGCCAGGGGAGCGAACGGG